UUUUAUUUGAGAGUUUGAUCCUGGCUCAGGAUGAACGCUGGCGGCGUGCCUAACACAUGCAAGUUGAGCGAUUUACUUCGGUAAAGAGCGGCGGACGGGGGAGUAACGCGUGGGUAACCUACCCUGUACACACGGAUAACAUACCGAAAGGUAUGCUAAUACGGGAUAAUAUAUUUGAGAGGCAUCUCUUGAAUAUCAAAGGUGAGCCAGUACAGGAUGGACCCGCGUCUGAUUAGCUAGUUGGUAAGGUAACGGCUUACCAAGGCGACGAUCAGUAGCCG
rnacentral:rRNA from 1 species